GACGAACGCUGGCGGCGUGCUUAACACAUGCAAGUCGAACGAGAGGAAUUGGAAAGCUUGCUUUUUAAUGAAUCGAGUGGCAAACGGGUGAGUAACACGUAAACAACCUGCCUUCAGGAUGGGGACAACAGACGGAAACGACUGCUAAUACCGAAUACCUUCCAAGAGCCGCAUGACACCUGGAAGAAAGGGUGGCCUCUACCUGUAAGCUAUCGCCUGAAGAGGGGUUUGCGUCUGAUUAGGCAGUUGGUGAGGUAACGGCCCACCAAACCUACGAUCAGUAGCCGGUCUGAGAGGAUGAACGGCCACACUGGAACUGAGACACGGUCCAG
rnacentral:rRNA from 1 species